rnacentral:rRNA from 1 species
AUUGAACGCUGGCGGCAUGCUUUACACAUGCAAGUCGAACGGUAACAGGCCUUCGGGUGCUGACGAGUGGCGAACGGGUGAGUAAUGCAUCGGAACGUACCCAGAGGUGGGGGAUAACGCAGCGAAAGCUGUGCUAAUACCGCAUGUGAUCUGAGGAUGAAAGCGGGGGACCGAGCAGCAAUGUUUGGCCUCGCGCCUUUGGAGCGGCCGAUGUCGGAUUAGCUAGUUGGUGGGGUAAAGGCCUACCAAGGCGACGAUCCGUAGCUGGUCUGAGAGGACGACCAGCCACACUGGGACUGAGACACGGCCCAGACUCCUACGGGAGGCAGCAGUGGGGAAUUGUGGACAAAGGGCGCAAGCCUGAUCCAGCAAUGCCGCGUGCGGGAAGAAGGCCUUCGGGUUGUAAACCGCUUUUGGCAGGAACGAAACGGUGUCCGCUAAUACCGGGCGCUAAUGACGGUACCUGCAGAAUAAGCACCGGCUAACUACGUG